rnacentral:rRNA from 1 species
AGUGAACGCUGGCGGUAGGCCUAACACAUGCAAGUCGAACGGCAGCACAGUAAGAGCUUGCUCUUACGGGUGGCGAGUGGCGGACGGGUGAGGAAUACAUCGGAAUCUACUUUUUCGUGGGGGAUAACGUAGGGAAACUUACGCUAAUACCGCAUACGACCUACGGGUGAAAGCAGGGGAUCUUCGCACCUUGCGCGAUUGAAUGAGCCGAUGUCGGAUUAGCUAGUUGGCGGGGUAAAGGCUCACCAAGGCGACGAUCCGUAGCUGGUCUGAGAGGAUGAUCAGCCACACUGGAACUGAGACACGGUCCAGACUCCUACGGGAGGCAGCAGUGGGGAAUAUUGGACAAUGGGCGCAAGCCUGAUCCAGCCAUACCGCGUGGGUGAAGAAGGCCUUCGGGUUGUAAAGCCCUUUUGUUGGGAAAGAAAAGCAGCAGGUUAAUACCCCGCUGUUCUGACGGUACCCAAAGAAUAAGCACCGGCUAACUUCGUG